rnacentral:rRNA from 1 species
GAUGAACGCUAGCUGCAGGCUUAACACAUGCAAGUCGAGCGGAAACGCCAUCGAAAGCUUGCUUUUGAUGGGCGUCGACCGGCGCACGGGUGAGUAACGCGUAUCCCACCUGCCCAUCACUUGGGGAUAACCUUGCGAAAGUAAGACCAAUACCCAAUGAUAUCUCUAGAAGUCAUCUGAAAGAGAUUAAAGUUUUAUCGGUUAUGGAUGGGGAUGCGUCUGAUUAGCUUGUUGGCGGGGUAACGGCACACCAAGGCAACGAUCCGUAGGUGUUCUGAGAGGCAGCUACCCUACAUGGGAACCAAGACACCGACCACAACGGUACGCGAGGGAGCAGUAAGGUAGACUGGGCAAGGGGGGAGAGCCGGAAAAAGCCAAGUAGGGUGCAGGAAGACGGCGCUAGGGGUAGUAAACUGCUUUUAUAAGAGAAUAAAGUGAGAGUCGGGACUCUUUUUGUAGGUACCUUAUGAAUAAGGACCGGCUAAUUACGUG